GAUGAACGCUGGCGGCGUGCUUAACACAUGCAAGUCGAACGGAAAGGCCCAAGCUUGCUUGGGUACUCGAGUGGCGAACGGGUGAGUAACACGUGGGUGAUCUGCCCUGCACUUCGGGAUAAGCCUGGGAAACUGGGUCUAAUACCGGAUAGGACCACAUUUUGGAUGGUGUGGUGGAAAGUUUUUCGGUGUGGGAUGAGCUCGCGGCCUAUCAGCUUGUUGGUGGGGUAAUGGCCUACCAAGGCGUCGACGGGUAGCCGGCCUGAGAGGGUGUACGGCCACAUUGGGACUGAGAUACGGCCCAGACUCCUACGGGAGGCAGCAGUGGGGAAUAUUGCACAAUGGGCGCAAGCCUGAUGCAGCGACGCCGCGUGGGGGAUGACGGCCUUCGGGUUGUAAACUCCUUUCGCUAGGGACGAAGCGUUUUUGUGACGGUACCUGGAGAAGAAGCACCGGCUAACAACGUG
rnacentral:rRNA from 1 species